UACGUAGGGAGCAAGCGUUGUCCGGAAUCAUUGGGCGUAAAGCGCGCGUAGGCGGCCUCAUAAGUCCGUUGUGAAAAGUCAAAAGGCUCAACCUUUUGAAAGCCGAUGGAUACUGUGAGGCUAGAGUCCGGAAGAGGCGAGUGGAAUUCCUGGUGUAGCGGUGGAAUGCGCAGAUAUCAGGAGGAACACCAAUGGCGAAGGCAGAUCUCUGGGGCCUAACUGACGCUGAGGAGCGAAAGCAUGGGGGAGCGAACAGG
rnacentral:rRNA from 1 species